AACUUUGCGCAGAGGUAAUAUCGUAACCGAUGAGGUCAAAUCGAGAUGCAAUUAUUGCUAUUUUAAAACUUUCUUUUUGUUUUAUUGUAAAGAAGCUGAUUUAAGUCAAUAAUUAUGUAUAUUUAAAUGUAAG